AACUUACCAGUCGGGCUUACCUGUGACUACAGAUCCACAGCAAUGCAGCUGACUUCCAUAUGGCCCUGCAAGCUGCUCAAUCGCCAGCUGUGGACUCUACUGUACCUAUUAGAUGGCAAGCUGGAUGGUAUUUGCAAAACAGCCCAGAAAUUGUAAAGAAUCCAAGAAUAAUGUGGAAUUUUGGAAAAUACCAAACAAACUCUGGAUGUCCAUGAAGAAUAAGGUACAAGGAAGGUAUCUGACCUCAUUAACUAGCCGUAUGAUGAAUAUUUCCAACAACAUUCUAACUCUGUAGGAUGAAGGUUCUGGAUGCUGGGUUAUUUGAAGCUUUCCAAACAGAGAUGGAUAAUUUUUUGAUACAUAGCAGUAUCAAGAGAUGGGGAGCAAAGUCCAGGAAAUACAUUUGAGGAAAACGUCAGCCACAAUCCAAGAGAUUGGUAGAGCAGCUCUAAAGCUGAAUAAUUUUCUAAUGUUCCUGUAUCAUUCCGAUAUCAUUCGUUGUUGUCUUUUUAUUGGUUCAUCCCAGAAAUACAAGCCUUUCUGCAGUUGACAUAA